rnacentral:rRNA from 1 species
AUUGAACGCUGGCGGCAGGCCUAACACAUGCAAGUCGAACGGUAACAGGAAACAGCUUGCUGUUUCGCUGACGAGUGGCGGACGGGUGAGUAAUGUCUGGGAAACUGCCUGAUGGAGGGGGAUAACUACUGGAAACGGUAGCUAAUACCGCAUAACGUCGCAAGACCAAAGAGGUGGACCUUCGGGCCUCUUGCCAUCGGAUGUGCCCAGAUGGGAUUAGCUAGUAGGUGGGGUAACGGCUCACCUAGGCGACGAUCCCUAGCUGGUCUGAGAGGAUGACCAGCGACACUGGAACUGAGACACGGUCCAGACUCCUACGGGAGGCAGCAGUGGGGAAUAUUGCACAAUGGGCGCAAGCCUGAUGCAGCCAUGCCGCGUGUAUGAAGAAGGACUUCGGGUUGUAAAGUACUUUCAGCGGGGAGGAAGGGAGUAAAGUUAAUACCUUUGCUCAUUGACGUUACCCGCAGAAGAAGCACCGGCUAACUCCGUG